rnacentral:rRNA from 1 species
GUUUGAUCAUGGCUCAGAUUGAACGCUGGCGGCAGGCUUAACACAUGCAAGUCGAGCGGGGGAAGGUAGCUUGCUACUGGACCUAGCGGCGGACGGGUGAGUAAUGCUUAGGAAUCUGCCUAUUAGUGGGGGACAACAUCUCGAAAGGGAUGCUAAUACCGCAUACGUCCUACGGGAGAAAGCAGGGGAUCUUCGGACCUUGCGCUAAUAGAUGAGCCUAAGUCGGAUUAGCUAGUUGGUGGGGUAAAGGCCUACCAAGGCGACGAUCUGUAGCGGGUCUGAGAGGAUGAUCCGCCACACUGGGACUGAGACACGGCCCAGACUCCUACGGGAGGCAGCAGUGGGGAAUAUUGGACAAUGGGGGGAACCCUGAUCCAGCCAUGCCGCGUGUGUGAAGAAGGCCUUAUGGUUGUAAAGCACUUUAAGCGAGGAGGAGGCUACUUUAGUUAAUACCUAGAGAUAGUGGACGUUACUCGCAGAAUAAGCACCGGCUAACUCUGUGCCAGCAGCCGCGGUAAUACAGAGGGUGCGAGCGUUAAUCGGAUUUACUGGGCGUAAAGCGUGCGUAGGCGGCUUAUUAAGUCGGAUGUGAAAUCCCCGAGCUUAACUUGGGAAUUGCAUUCGAUACUGGUGAGCUAGAGUAUGGGAGAGGAUGGUAGAAUUCCAGGUGUAGCGGUGAAAUGCGUAGAGAUCUGGAGGAAUACCGAUGGCGAAGGCAGCCAUCUGGCCUAAUACUGACGCUGAGGUACGAAAGCAUGGGGAGCAAACAGGAUUAGAUACCCUGGUAGUCCAUGCCGUAAACGAUGUCUACUAGCCGUUGGGGCCUUUGAGGCUUUAGUGGCGCAGCUAACGCGAUAAGUAGACCGCCUGGGGAGUACGGUCGCAAGACUAAAACUCAAAUGAAUUGACGGGGGCCCGCACAAGCGGUGGAGCAUGUGGUUUAAUUCGAUGCAACGCGAAGAACCUUACCUGGCCUUGACAUACUAGAAACUUUCCAGAGAUGGAUUGGUGCCUUCGGGAAUCUAGAUACAGGUGCUGCAUGGCUGUCGUCAGCUCGUGUCGUGAGAUGUUGGGUUAAGUCCCGCAACGAGCGCAACCCUUUUCCUUACUUGCCAGC